rnacentral:misc_RNA from 1 species
GAUGAAGAACGUAGCGAAAUGCGAUAAGUAAUGUGAAUUGCAGAAUUCAGUGAAUCAUCGAAUCUUUGAACGCACCUUGCGCCCUUUGGACUUCUGAAGGGCAUGCCUGUUUGAGUAUCAUGAACACCUCAACUCCUUAUGGUCUUCCAUGAUGAGCUUGGACUUUGGGGGUUUUGCUGGCCUACAGUCAGCUCCUCUAAAAUAAAUCAGCUUACCGGUGUUUGGUGGGUAUCAUGGGUGUGAUAACUAUCUACGCGCGUGGUUUUCCACCAGGUAACCUUCAGCAGUGGAGGUUCACUGGAGCUCAUAGAUGUCUCUCCUCAGCGAGGACAGCCCUUUGAAUGUUUGAUCUCAAAUCAGGUAGGACUACCCGCUGAACUUAAGCAUAUCAAUAAGCGGAGGA